UUGAUUAUUUGUUUUUUUUUCUCAGAAGUGUUCUUGUGCUUGAGAUGUAAAGGUUCAUAGGGCCCGCCGCCCCCGGCGCGGGAGGGGGAGGGGACCGCCCGAAGGCAGCCCCCCACCCGUCCCCCGCCGGAAGCAACGAGAACAGUAUGGGUAUGGUUCGCAAGGGUUGGGAGUUUUUAAACUCUGUAAUGAUCCCUCCGCUGGUUCACCAACGGAGA
rnacentral:misc_RNA from 1 species